GAGAGCACGACAGAAAGAAAGAGAGAGAAAGACAAAAUGAACUUGGCCGACUGAGCAGCUCCAUAAUACCCAUAGGUCGAACAUGGCUUUAUCUUGCCAUUUCUUUACACAAUUUGGAGCGCCAAGAAUAAACUGCUGGUCAACGGUGAGGAAUCGAUGCCAGAGAUGGUGAUACAACGCACGACAGUGGGGCACGCAAAGUGUUAAAAAGCGACGACCCAACCCCCACUUCUCUGAAUCAGACAACUUUGCCCACUGCUCUGAAUCAGUUUUUAUUUUUCUUUCUAAAAGUAGCACAAGUUCUGUUAACAAUUCAAAUGCUCAAAGAUGAGGUGCAAGCUUUGUUUGAUGAUGCUGGAAAGCGUAAUGAUUUAGCCACACCCUUUAUACCGUAC